rnacentral:rRNA from 1 species
CAUUACUGAGUUUACGCUCUACAACCCUUUGUGAACAUACCUAUAACUGUUGCUUCGGCGGGUAGGGUCUCCGCGACCCUCCCGGCCUCCCGCCUCCGGGCGGGUCGGCGCCCGCCGGAGGAUAACCAAACUCUGAUUUAACGACGUUUCUUCUGAGUGGUACAAGCAAAUAAUCAAAACUUUUAACAACGGAUCUCUUGGUUCUGGCAUCGAUGAAGAACGCAGCGAAAUGCGAUAAGUAAUGUGAAUUGCAGAAUUCAGUGAAUCAUCGAAUCUUUGAACGCACAUUGCGCCCGCCAGCAUUCUGGCGGGCAUGCCUGUUCGAGCGUCAUUUCAACCCUCAAGCUCUGCUUGGUGUUGGGGCCCUACAGCUGAUGUAGGCCCUCAAAGGUAGUGGCGGACCCUCCCGGAGCCUCCUUUGCGUAGUAACUUUACGUCUCGCACUGGGAUCCGGAGGGACUCUUGCCGUAAAACCCCCAAUUUUCCAAAGGUUGACCUCGGAUCAGG